UGGGGAAUAUUGCCCAAUGGCGGAAACUCUGACGCAGCAACGCCGCGUGAAGGAUGAAGGCCCUUGGGUUGUAAACUUCUUUGAUUGGGGAAGAAAGAAAUGACGGUACCCAAAUAACAAGCCACGGCUAACUACGUGCCAGCAGCCGCGGUAAUACGUAGGUGGCAAGCGUUGUCCGGAUUUACUGGGUGUAAAGGGCGUGUAGGCGGAACAGCAAGUCAGAAGUGAAAUCCCCGGGCUUAACCCGGGAACUGCUUCUGAAACUGCAGUUCUUGAGUACUGGAGAGGAAAGCGGAAUUCCUAGUGUAGCGGUGAAAUGCGUAGAUAUUAGGAGGAACACCAGUGGCGAAGGCGGCUUUCUGGACAGAGACUGACGCUGAGGCGCGAAAGCGUGGGGAGCAAACA
rnacentral:rRNA from 1 species